rnacentral:rRNA from 1 species
CAGUUCGGAUUGAAGGCUGAAAUUACGCCUUCCAUGAAGCCGGAAUUGCUAGUAAUGGCAGGUCAGCAUACUGCCGUGAAUACGUUCCCGGGCCUUGUACACACCGCCCGUCACACCAUGAGAGUUGGGAAUACCCGAAGCCUGUGAGCUAACUUUUUAAGAGGCAGCAGUCGAAGGUAGAAUCAAUGAUUGGGGUGAAGUCGUAACAAGGUAAC